rnacentral:snRNA from 1 species
GUUUUCAGCCCAGCAGCACCUAUGUUAAAAUUGGAACACUACGGAGAAGAUUAGCAUGUCCCCUG